UACAGAGGGUGCGAGCGUUAAUCGGAAUUACUGGGCGUAAAGCGCAUGUAGGUGGCGACGUAAGUCGGGCGUGAAAGCCCCGGGCUCAACCUGGGAAUUGCAUUCGAGACUGCAUUGCUGGAGUACGGAAGAGGAGGCGGAAUUCCCGGUGUAGCGGUGAAAUGCGUAGAUAUCGGGAGGAACAUCAGUGGCGAAGGCGGCCCUCUGGUCCAGUACUGACACUCAAGUGCGAAAGCGUGGGGAGCAAACAGG
rnacentral:rRNA from 1 species